rnacentral:rRNA from 1 species
GAUCCUGGCUCAGGAUGAACGCUAGCUACAGGCUUAACACAUGCAAGUCGAGGGGCAGCAUGACCUAGCAAUAGGUUGAUGGCGACCGGCGCACGGGUGAGUAACACGUAUCCAACCUACCGGUUAUUCCGGGGAUAGCCUUUCGAAAGAAAGAUUAAUACCGGAUAGUAUAACGAGAAGGCAUCUUUUUGUUAUUAAAGAAUUUCGAUAACCGAUGGGGAUGCGUUCCAUUAGUUUGUUGGCGGGGUAACGGCCCACCAAG